rnacentral:rRNA from 1 species
GAUGAACGCUGGCGGCGUGCCUAAUACAUGCAAGUCGAGCGAGCGGACGAGAAGCUUGCUUCUCUGAUGUUAGCGGCGGACGGGUGAGUAACACGUGGAUAACCUACCUAUAAGACUGGGAUAACUUCGGGAAACCGGAGCUAAUACCGGAUAAUAUUUUGAACCGCAUGGUUCAAAAGUGAAAGACGGUCUUGCUGUCACUUAUAGAUGGAUCCGCGCUGCAUUAGCUAGUUGGUAAGGUAACGGCUUACCAAGGCAACGAUGCAUAGCCGACCUGAGAGGGUGAUCGGCCACACUGGAACUGAGACACGGUCCAGACUCCUACGGGAGGCAGCAGUAGGGAAUCUUCCGCAAAGGGCGAAAGCCUGACGGAGCAACGCCGCGUGAGUGAUGAAGGUCUUCGGAUCGUAAAACUCUGUUAUUAGGGAAGAACAUAUGUGUAAGUAACUGUGCACAUCUUGACGGUACCUAAUCAGAAAGCCACGGCUAACUACGUG